CCUACGGGAUGCAGCAGUGAGGAAUAUUGGUCAAUGGUCGGGAGACUGAACCAGCCAAGCCGCGUGAGGGAUGAAGGUAUAGAGUAUCGUAAACCUCUUUUGUCAGGGAACAAAGGCGGGGACGUGUCCCCGGAUGAGUGUACCUGAAGAAAAAGCAUCGGCUAACUCCGUGCCAGCAGCCGCGGUACUACGGAGGAUGCGAGCGUUAUCCGGAUUUAUGGGUUUUAAAGGGUGGGCGGGCGGUCUGUUAAGUCAGCGGACAAAGCCCGGGGCUCAACCCCGGCCCGCCGUUGAAACUGGCAGUCUCGAGUUGGAGAGAAGUAUGCGGAAUGCGCGGUGUAGCGGUGAAAUGCAUAGAUAUCGCGCAGAACUCCGAUUGCGAAGGCAGCAUGCCGGCUCCACACUGACGCUGAGGCACGAAAGCGUGGGUAUCGAACAGGAUUAGAUACCCUUGUAGUC
rnacentral:rRNA from 1 species